rnacentral:lncRNA from 1 species
GACACUGCUGCCAUAGCGGUCUUUGCCAAGACUUGUCCAUGCUGAGGCCCAAUUCCUCCCCUGGCAUAGGGUUCCCUGACUGGGGCUGCUUGUGUAAAGAAUGGAUCAGAUUACAAAACAAAGUCACCUGUGUCAUAACAGGGUUAAGUGCAGGGUGCUGAGGGAGGCUGGGGAGGGUGACUGACAGCCACUGCCUGGGAGGGUGGACAAAGGCAAUGAUAGAGCUGUUUCUGGAAUGAAGACAUCACAGAGUGAUCAGCUUGCGUGGGAAGGAAUGGGGAUGGAAAAGAGGAAGGUGCAGCAUUCAGUGCGGCCGCAGUUAGGUGCGUGUCCAAGAUAAUGGCAGGAGAUGGUCAAGACCCACCCAAUGGGGAUGGCUGUGAAGGACUCACAUGCCACGCUAUGGAGCAUGGAUAUUUUCUGAAGUAGACAGCAGUGCAUCUUGGAUGAGCAGAAAACACUGAUUUAAGAGGAAGAGUUAAAAAGACUCUGCACACUGUAGGCGAGGCCUCGGUGCCACAGGCAGGUGGCCUCUGACCCCACGGCAGCCUGCGGUCAUCAAAACCAGAAUCUCCCAGUGGAGGCCUAUUGUGGGCAGGCCCAGAAAGGCAGGAGAAACAGAAGAGGAAGGGGUGAGGGGCCUAGAACGACAACCUCAGGGUGAAGAGGUGAGACAAGAAGAAAGGCAAAUGGCAGUGCACGUUUCCCAUGACAGUCAAGGCCCUGGUGUUGGGAAACACUGACCCAGUCCAACGGACAAAUGACAACAUGGGACAUCAUGUGACUGGAGCUUCUAAUCAUCUUCCUAACAAAGAACUGCAAGCGACAAAGGAUCUCCUGUGAGUCAGAAUUUGGUCAAGAAUUUCAGUGCAUCUUGAUGCUGAUUGAGAAUACCACCUGAAACUGAUCUGAAGUAAUAACAGGCUAGCAACGUAAUCAUCUCUGUGUUGGUCCAUGCUUGAAUGAAUGUACACGGAAUCUUGGGUGCUGCCUCUCCAUUUUCAGCAGCAGAAGACAUCUACAAGAGAAACACACUGCCCUUUGAACUUCAAUGUUACUCUGAAAUACAAUAUAUUAAUAAUAUUGCUAACCAAAGGAUCUAUUUUAGUUAAGUAUGUUUUUGUUAUUGCUAUUGCUGUUGUUCCUAAGGAAGACAGAAACAUUUCAGAAUACUAAAAAAGAAAUCUGCAUUCCUUAAUCUUUCAAAAAUAAAUCUAAAACAUUUUCGU